rnacentral:rRNA from 1 species
UGGGGAAUAUUGGACAAUGGGCGAAAGCCUGAUCCAGCCAUGCCGCGUGAGUGACGAAGGCCUUCGGAUUGUAAACCACUGUCGCGAGGGACGAAGCUCUGACGGUACCUCGAAAGGAAGCACCGGCUAACUCUGUGCCAGCAGCCGCGGUAAUACAGAGGGUGCGAGCGUUGUCCGGAAUCACUGGGCGUAAAGGGCGCGUAGGCGGCCCGGUAAGUAGGGGGUGAAAUCUCAUGGCUCAACUGUGAGGCUGCCUUCUAGACUGCCAGGCUUGAGCACAGUAGAGGCGAGUGGAAUUCCCGGUGUAGCGGUGGAAUGCGUAGAGAUCGGGAAGAACAUCGGUGGCGAAGGCGGCUCGCUGGGCUGUUGCUGACGCUGAGGCGCGAAAGCGUGGGGAGCAAACAGGAUUAGAUACCCCUGUAGUCCCUGAGCGGGCUGGCAAGGCG